CCUCGGGUGGCUGCAGUCGAGAAUUUUUCUCAAUGGGGGAAACCCUGAAGGAGCGACGCCGCGUGGAGGAUGAAGGCUUUCGGGUUGUAAACUCCUGUCAUUUGAGAACUAGUAUCAGAAGAGGAAGGGACGGCUAACUCUGUGCCAGCAGCCGCGGUAAUACAGAGGUCCCAAGCGUUGUUCGGAUUCAUUGGGCGUAAAGGGUGCGUAGGUGGCGCCGUAAGUCGGGUGUGAAAUUUCGGAGCUUAACUCCGAAACUGCAUUCGAUACUGCGGUGCUUGAGGACUGGAGAGGAGACUGGAAUUUAUGGUGUAGCAGUGAAAUGAGUAGAGAUCAUAAGGAAGACCAGUGGCGAAGGCGGGUCUCUGGACAGUCCUGACACUGAGGCACGAAGGCCAGGGGAGCAAACGGGAUUAGAUACCCUGGUAGUC
rnacentral:rRNA from 1 species